rnacentral:lncRNA from 1 species
AAGAUGUGUAUCCUUGGUGGUUUGCUUGGUCUUAUAAUUGUUUCACAUUUCAGAUGCAGUCAUCAUUUACAUCUUCAGAGCAAGAGCUAGAGCGAUUAAGAAGAGAAAACAAAGAUAUUGAAAAUCUGAGGAGAGAACGAGAACAUUUGGAAAUGGAACUAGAGAAGGCAGAAAUUGAACGAUCUACCUAUGUUACAGAAGUCAGAGAGUUGAAGACCCAGUUAAAUGAAACAGUCAUAAAACUUAAAACUGAACAAAGUGAAAGACAGAAGGUAGCUGGUGAUUUACAUAAGGUAAGGCUGCUUGACAUGGAGACACAAUAUUGUGAGCCUUUGUUGUGCCUUCUAUCUUAAGAAAAC